GAGUGAUCGAAAGAUGAAAAGCACUUUGAAAAGAGAGUUAAACAGCACGUGAAAUUGUUGAAAGGGAAGCGUUUGCGACCAGACUCGCCCGCGGGGUUCAGCCGGCAUUCGUGCCGGUGUACUUCCCCGUGGGCGGGCCAGCGUCGGUUUGGGCGGCCGGUCAAAGGCCCUCGGAAUGUAUCACCCCCCGGGGUGUCUUAUAGCCGAGGGUGCAAUGCGGCCUGCCCGGACCGAGGAACGCGCUUGGGCUCGGACGCUGGCGUAAUGGUCGUAAAUGAC
rnacentral:rRNA from 1 species